rnacentral:lncRNA from 1 species
UUUUUGAUGCUAUUGUAAAUAGUUAUUUUAAUUCAUUUUUGGAUUAUUAAUUGCUAAUAUAAAGAAGUACAACUGAUUUUUAUAUUGGUCUUGUAUCCUGCAAUGUUUCCGAACUCACUUAUUUUUUUAAAGAUUUUAUUUAUUUAUUCAUGAGAGACAGCGAGAGAGCGCGAGAAAGAGGCAGAGACACAGGCAGGGGGAGAAGCAGGCUCCAUGCAGGGAUCCUGAUGUGGGACUCGAUCCGAGAACUCCAGGAUUACACCCUGGGCAGAAGGCAGGCACUAAACCGCGGAGCCAUCCAGGGAUCCCCUGAACUCACUUAUUAGUUCCAAAAGUUUUGUGUGUGUAGAUUCCUUAGGAAAUUAUAUAGAAAAUUAGGUCUUCUGAAAGUAAAUAUAGUUUUACUCCUUUCCUUCUGACCUGGAUAUUCUUGUUUGUUUCAGGUUUAAUAAGAUGGAACUGACAAAUCAAAAUUGUAUAUAUUUAAGGUAUACACUUUUGUGGUUUUUUUUUUAAAGAUUUUAUUUAUUCACGAGAGACACACAGAGAGAGGCAGAGGGAGAGGGAAGAGCAGGCUCCCUGUGGGGAGCGUGAUGCAGGACUUGAUCCCAGGACCCCGGGAUCACGACCUGAGCCAAAGGCAGAAGCUCAACCACUGAGCCACCCAGGCGUCCUGUGAUGUUUUGAUAAAUGUAUACAUUGUGAAAUGACCACCACAAUCAAGUAAAUCACCAUAGCCAUCAUCUAAUAUAAUUACCUUUUUGUGGGUGUGGUGAGAACACCUCUUAGUAAAUCUCAAGUUUUCAAUACAAUAUUUCUAACUAGUCAUUAUGCUAUACAUUAGAUCUCUAGGACUUCCUAUCAUGCAUAACUGAAACUUUGUACUCUUUUCCCAUUUCCCCCUCAUCCUAGCCGCUGGCAACAACCUUUCUAUUCUUUGCUAUGAAUUUGACUGUUUUAGAUUCCAUAUUGCAUUAGUCAGGGUUCUCCAGAGAAACAGAACCAAUAGGAUGGAUGAAUUGAUAUAGAGCUACAGAUACAGAUACAGCCAUAUAGCUAUGAGGACUGUUAUAAAUUAGCUCAUGUGAUUAUGGAGGCCAGGAAAUCCCAAGAUCUGCCGUUUUUAAGCUGGAGAACACGGAAAGCUGGUGAUGUAAUUCAGUCUGAAUCCAGAGGCCUGAAAAUGAGAGAUCAAUGGUGUAAGUUCCAGUCUGUGUCUAAAGGCACAAGAGCCGGGAUCCCUGGGUGGCACAGCAGUUUGGUGCCUGCCUUUGGCCCAGGGCGUGAUCCUGGAGACCCGGGAUCGAGUCCCACAUCGGGCUCCCAGUGCAUGGAGUCUGCCUGUGUCUCUGCCUCUCUCUCUCUCUCUCUCUCUCUCUCUAUCAUAAAUAAAUAAAAAUUAAAAAAAAAAAAUAAAGGCCCAAGAGCCAGGAGUACCAACCUACAAGGUCAGGAGAAGAUGGAUAGUCCAACUGAAGCAAAGAGUAAAUUUGCCCUUCCUCUGUUUGUUCUAUUUAGGCCCUCAAUGGAUUGGAUGAUGCCCACCCAUAUUGGUGAGGCUGGUCUUUAUUCAGUCUACUAAUUCAAAUGCUAAUUACUCUGGAAACAUCUUCAUAGACACAUCCAGAAAUAAUGUUUUACCAACUAUCUGAGCAUCCUGUAGCCUAGUCAUGGUGAUAUGUAAAACUAACCAACAUAAGUCCGUGACUUGUCAACUUGGCACCAUAUAUAUAUCUCCUUAAACCAUACUUAUCUCCAAAUAAAAACAAUAACAAGGUCAUAAUUCUACCUAACAUGAUACAGCUCUCCUGCAUGUAACUGAAAAUGUAUUAAUCCUUUCUCCAGAAGAUGAGGUAGAGUCCUUGAGCAGUGUUUACUCUUCUGUAACUUAAAUAAAAUUAGCAAAAUUAACAACACUUAAGAACGGAUAUAAAGUCAAUUCAUGAUAAGGGAAUAAGAAACAAAGAUAUUUAUGUAAUUUAUGUGUAUAUAUGACAAACCUAUUUGUAACAAAAUGAGGAAGUAUUGAUGAUCAUUACAGUUCUCAUUUCUGUAACUAGUCAUGGUUGUAGGUGGGAUUUAUAACUACCUUCUUCUAAUACACAUUCUGUAUUCCCUUUGCCUUCAGUGAACACCUACCUCAGCUGGCCAUUUUUCUUUAGCUGGCAGGGUAACCCUAACUUUCAUUUCUGAAUGGUGUGGGCCAUUAGUAGUCCUGCCUGGAUUGGUUUGUGGUUUUCCACUGAUUGUGAUCACAAGGCAUGGUAAUACUGAGAAACAUCCUAAAAGACUAUUCCAGGCAUACUUCUCCUAAGUUCCACUGUGUAGUAGUAAUCCAAUUUCCCCUUGAUAGUCAGGAACAAUCAUCCCAGGCAAUGCCACAACUCUUUUCUUUGCCUGUUGAUUUAGAGGCAUGAGGAGGCCAAAGUGGCCCAAUGGCAGUCUUAACUUCCAGCUCAAUGGAAUCAUUGUUGUGUGUCCCAGUAGAAACUUUCCUCCCCCUGGCCUCUAGGCCAGCAGAACAUUAUGAGAACAGGAAGCAAAAAUUUAUGGGUCAUUAUGAUAAUAGUGAGUGGUGAGCUUUCAUUUCCACCUCUUGAUUCCUGGACCUGUGAAUCCUAGCUGUUGGAAAAACAGCACCACAUAUUGGACAUUUAUUCAGAGCAUAUACAAUUUUCUGGAAGGGCUAGCAAAGUACUGCCACCUAGCUGGUACUAUAACUCUUAAAAAGGUCAUUCCACUGUUAAAUGAAGCAAGCUGCUUCAGGAUAGGGAAUAUAGUAAGACCAGUGAAUUCCAUGACCAUGAGCCCACUGUCAUACUUCCUUUGCUGUGAAGUGAGUUCCCUGAUCUGCAGGCAAUGCUCUGUGAAAUACCAUGAUGGUGAAUAAGGCAUUCUUUAAGUCCACAGAUGGUAGUUUUGGAGGAAGCAUUGCAUGCAUGGUAGGCAAAUCUGUAACUAUAUCUAGUAUGUCUAUCCCAGUAAGGACAAAUGCUGCCCCUCCCUCGAGAUGGGAGCAAUCUAAUGUAAUCAACCUGCCACCAGGUAGCUGCUGGUAUAAUCAGCCAUAUAGUACCAUAUAGGAACAGUACUAUAUAAGGCGCUCAGUUUUGGUCUCUACUGUUGGCAGACUGCACACUCAGUGUUGGCCAUAGCCAUGCUGGGCUUGGUAAAUGGCAGUCCAUGUUGCUAAGCCUAUGUAUAAACCAACAUCCUAACACUAUGGCCACUUUGUUCAUGAGUUGACUGGGCAAUGACAGAAGUGGCUGGAAAAAGAGGUGAAUGGUAUCCACAGAAUGGGCCAUCCUACCCACUUGAUCAUUAAAAUAUUCCUCUGGUGAGGAAACCAAAUCUUUGGUGAAGAUUCACACAGGAUAUAAAUAUCUUCACAUCUUUUUCCCAGAGAGGUCUAUCCACAUACCUCUUCCCUAAAUUUGUUUGUCACCAAUUUUUUAAUCAUGUUCCUUUCAAAGUUCGUGACCAUUGGCUGCAGCCCAUGAACUGGUAUAUAAUCACACAUCUGGUCAUUUUUCUUUCCAAGAUAAGUUGAAUAAUCAGAGGUACUACCUGAAGUUCUGCCCACUAGACGGAUUUCCCUUUACCACUGUCCUUCAGGGAUGUCCCAGAGAGAAGCCACAGUGCUGUAGCUGUCCCCUUUUGAGUGGUACCUGGCAUAUCAUGUAGAACCAUCUAUAAACCAGGGCCUAGUCUUCUCUUCCUGCCAGUUGAUUAUAGCAAUCAAUACAGGCUGGGAGAGAAAUGGCAGCAUAGCAGGAGUGGGGUCCAUGGGCAUUUGGGCUACUUCGUCAUGUAGUCUGUGUCUUUAGAGCCUGUUUGGGCCUGAUCACAUAUAUAUCACUUCCAUUUGAUGAUGGAGUAUUGUUUUGCAUGCCCAACUUUGAGGCUUGCUGGGUCAGACAACACUCAGUUCAUGAAAGGUAGCUCAGGUCAUAUGGUAACUUGGUGGUCCCUGGUCAAGUGUUCAGUCUCAGGCCCAGUAGCAGGCCAAGAGCAGUUUCUCAAAAGGAUAGUAUUUAUCUCCAGAUGUUGGCAGGGUCUUCCUCCAAAAUCUGAAGGACUAUGCUGCAAUUCACCUAUAGAAGUCUACCAAUGGUUUCAAAUACCAUCUCUGUCACUAACACUUCAAGCACCACUGAUCUUCUGGAUCAUAUGGCCCAAGUGCAAUACACCUUGCUCAGGAGCCUGAACUAUUGCAGAGCCUUCUCUUGUUCUGGAUUUCAGUCAAACCUAGCAACUUUCCAGGCCACUCAGUAAAUGGACUGGAGUAACACAACCGAAUGAAAAACAUGUUCCUUCCAAAAUCCAGAGCCCCACUACGUACCGUGCCUCUUUCUUGAUCAUAAAAGGGACCAAAUAUAAUUUAUCCUUCACCUGAGAUGUCUCAAUGUUGAUGCUCCACACCACUGGAUCCCUAGAAAUUUCAGAGAGAAGAUCCCCGAAUUUUAGUUGAAUUUAUUUCCCACCCUCUGGCAUACAACUAUAUCACUAGUAAGUCUAGACUAGUUGCUAAUUCUCACUCACUAGGUCCAAUUAGCAUAAUGUCAUCAAUACAAGAGAACAGCAUGACAUCUUGUGGAAGGUAAAGGCAAUCACAAUCCCUGUAAACUAAAUGACAUAGAGCUUGAUGGUUGAUGUACCCCUGAAGUACAACAGUGAAAGUAUACUGCUGGCCUUGCCAACUGAAAGCAGACUGCUUCUGGUGGGCCUUAUGGACAGGGAUAGAGAAAAAAAUGCAUCUCCCAAAUCAAUAGCUGCAUACUAUGUGCCAUGUAAUCUGUUCAUUUGCUCAAGCAAUGAAAACACAUCUGGUACAGCACCUGCAACUGCAAUCACUACCUAGUUAGGCUUAAAAUAACCCAUUAUCAUUCUCCAUCUGUCUUCUGCAUAGGUCAAAUAGAAGAGUUGAAGGGGGAUGUGGUAGAAAUCACCACUCCUGCAUCUUUCACCUCCUCAAUGGUGGCACUAGUCUCUACAAUCCCUCCAGUAAUGUGGACUUUUAAAAAAUUAUUAUUGAAGUAUUUUUGAUUUAUUAUUUUCCCAGGUAGAGGCAGUUCUAAUAGCUUCUAUUUGGCCUUUCCCACCAUAAUAGCCCUCACUCCACAGAUCAGGAAACCAAUAUGGGGAGUCUGCCAGCUGUUAUGUGUGUCUAUUCCAGCUAUACAGUCUGGAACUGAGGAAAUAAUCACAGAAUGGGUUUGGGGACCCACUGGACUCACUGUGAGACAGACCUGAGGUAAAACCCCAUUGAUCACCUGACAUCUAUAGGCCCACACUCUGAUUGCAGGGCCACAGAGAUGUUUCAAGUCUCCUAAAAUCAGUGUCAGUUCAAAGUCAGUGCCUAGUAGUCCCUGAAAGGUCUGAUUAUUUCCUCUUGUUCAAUGUAGUUACCUCAUGUUGGUCCUAUAGAGUAACAGUAUAAAAUUUCAAUGUACUGAGGUCCUUCCUCAAGGGAACUGGCCUCCCCUUCAUUCAAAGGGUUCUGGGCUUGCCAACUGCCUCAAGUGUGGGAAUUGAGAAGUUGUGACUCUUGAUUUUUAGGAUAUGAGUUAGAAUUUUGUUUAUGUGACCUAUAACUUUUCUGUUUAUACAAACCAAGUAAGACUCUAGUAGGCUUCCUAUUUAUUUCACUUUUUAGAACACAAUAACUAGUCAGUGCCAUAAGUCUGCAUGAAUCAUAAAAAUCUGCUGUUUGACUCUACUGUCCAUUACAAUAACCACACCCACCUUCCCUUUGGGGUUUGAGAGCCACUACUUGGCCCCUGCCAUCCCAGGAUCCAAUUACUCCCAUUGCAUUUAGGUUUUCCAACUGAGUGUCUGUAAUUCCCACUGUAAGUUCUGGCCUACAGAGAAGAGCAAUCACAGAGCUCUUUAAGGAUACUAGGGCUCCAUCAUAUCCUUCAACAGAUAAAUGGAUAAAGAAGAUGUGGUGUGUGUAUAUAUAUAUACACACACACACAUACAUACACACACAAUAGAAUAUUACUCAGCCAUCAGAAAGGAUGAAUACCUACCAUUUGCUUCCACAUGAAUAGAACUGGAGGGUAUUAUGCUCAGUGAAAUAAGUUAAUCGGAGAAAGAAAAUCAUCAUAUGGUUUCACUCAUAUAUGGAAUAUAUGAAAUAGUGAAAGGGACUAUAAGGGAAAGGAGGGAAACUGAGUGGGGAAAAAUUAGAGAGGAAGACAAACCAUGAGAGACUCCUAACUCUGGGAAACAAAGAGUUGCAGAAGGGGAAGAAGGUGAAAGGAUGGGGUAACGGGGUCAUGGGCACUAAGGAGGGCACUUGAUGGGAUGAGCACUGAAUGUUAUACUAUAUGUUGGCAAACUAAAUUUAAUAAAAUAUAUUUUUAAAGAUUUUAUUUAUUU